rnacentral:rRNA from 1 species
GACGAACGCUGGCGGCGUGCCUAAUACAUGCAAGUAGAACGCUGACGAGAGGAGCUUGCUCUUCUUGGAUGAGUUGCGAACGGGUGAGUAACGCGUAGGUAACCUGCCUUGUAGCGGGGGAUAACUAUUGGAAACGAUAGCUAAUACCGCAUAACAAUGGAUGACACAUGUCAUUUAUUUGAAAGGGGCAAUUGCUCCACUACAAGAUGGACCUGCGUUGUAUUAGCUAGUAGGUGAGGUAAUGGCUCACCUAGGCGACGAUACAUAGCCGACCUGAGAGGGUGAUCGGCCACACUGGGACUGAGACACGGCCCAGACUCCUACGGGAGGCAGCAGUAGGGAAUCUUCGGCAAUGGGGGCAACCCUGACCGAGCAACGCCGCGUGAGUGAAGAAGGUUUUCGGAUCGUAAAGCUCUGUUGUAAGUCAAGAACGGGUGUGAGAGUGGAAAGUUCACACUGUGACGGUAGCUUACCAGAAAGGGACGGCUAACUACGUG